AUUGAACGCUGGCGGCAUGCUUUACACAUGCAAGUCGAACGGCAGCGCGGGCUUCGGCCUGGCAGCGAGUGGCGAACGGGUGAGUAAUGCAUCGGAACGUGCCCAGUAGUGGGGGAUAGCCCGGCGAGAGCCGGAUUAAUACCGCAUACGACCUGAGGGUGAAAGCGGGGGACCGAAAGGCCUCGCGCUAUUGGAGCGGCCGAUGUCGGAUUAGCUAGUUGGUGGGGUAAAGGCUUACCAAGGCGACGAUCCGUAGCUGGUCUGAGAGGACGACCAGUCACACUGGGACUGAGACACGGCCCAGACUCCUACGGGAGGCAGCAGUGGGGAAUUUUGGACAAUGGGGGCAACCCUGAUCCAGCCAUGCCGCGUGCGGGAAGAAGGCCUUCGGGUUGUAAACCGCUUUUGUUCGGGAAGAAAUCCUCUGGGCUAAUACCCCGGGGGGAUGACGGUACCGGAAGAAUAAGCACCGGCUAACUACGUG
rnacentral:rRNA from 1 species